GGGCCCAUAGCUCAGCGGUCAGAGCAGGCGACUCAUAAUCGCUUGGUUUCCCGCUCGAUCCUGGUUGGGCCAA
rnacentral:tRNA from 1 species